rnacentral:tRNA from 1 species
GCUGAAGUGGUGGAAUUGGUAGACACGUUGGACUUAAAAUCCAAUGGACAGAAAUGUCCGUACGGGUUCAAGUCCCGUCUUCAGUACAA